GACGAACGCUGGCGGCGUGCUUAACACAUGCAAGUCGAACGGAAAGGCCCUGCUUUUGUGGGGUGCUCGAGUGGCGAACGGAUGAGUAACACGUGAGUAACCUGCCCUUGACUUUGGGAUAACUUCAGGAAACUGGGGCUAAUACCGGAUAGGAGCUCCUGCUGCAUGGUGGGGGUUGGAAAGUUUCGGCGGUUUGGGAUGGACUCGCGGCUUAUCAGCUUGUUGGUGGGGUAGUGGCUUACCAAGGCUUUGACGGGUAGCCGGCCUGAGAGGGUGACCGGCCACAUUGGGACUGAGAUACGGCCCAGACUCCUACGGGAGGCAGCAGUGGGGAAUAUUGCACAAUGGGCGGAAGCCUGAUGCAGCAACGCCGCGUGCGGGAUGACGGCCUUCGGGUUGUAAACCGCUUUCGCCUGUGACGAAGCGUGAGUGACGGUAAUGGGUAAAGAAGCACCGGCUAACUACGUGC
rnacentral:rRNA from 1 species